rnacentral:snoRNA from 1 species
AAGACCGUACUUUUUAGGAUCAUUUCUAUAGUACGCGUUCUUCCUUUGCUUCACAGCAAUGCGAAACACAACAGCCAUGAUCUGUGAAGUUGGUGUUUAGGGGUGUUGUAGUUCCUUUAACUACCUUUACCCAUUGGGGAUUUUAGUUAUUUUACUUAAGUUUCUGU